AAAGCAUGCUAACCCUCAAAACCCCCACUCCAACUCUCACUUAAAACUUUAUGGCAAAUUUACAAAUUACACUGGCUUCACAGAGUUGCUUGAUACAUCUAGUUCCCCCUUCCACAAACCUCCCUCCUCACCAAUUUGAAAAGGAGCUCGGUGAACAGACUGGGCAAAGCAAGAGCCCUCUUUCUACGUGCCUUAGGGUGGUGAUGGGGCAGCCAAAGACAGACUGCUUUAGCUGAGGGAUGUAGAUUGGAGAUGAGGACCUAACUCCAAAGAGUAACUCUUUGCUGAAGUGACUUUACAGAGGGAAGUAAGCAGUAAUUCAAUUCAGCCUUAGAUAGAAAGCCUUUCUAUGAAUAAUGGGAAAUAAAGUUAAAAAAAAUGAUGCAAACAAGGCAAGAAAAAAAUAUUGAUAAUCGAAAAAAGAAAAGUAUUUGAGGUCUGAUAGAUCCUCAAAAUGCAGAAGAGCCAAUGACUUCAUACACCGAAUUGGCUAAAUCCUGUCUCAGAUUUUCACUGUUGCCAGAAGAGCAACUCUGGUCAAGUAGAAACCCUGAAGUUUGCCAUCAUUUCAUCCAGGGUCUGCAGGAUCUUACCUUAUCCUCCAGGCUGGAGUACAGUGGUGCAAUCACAGGUCACUGCAGCCUCGAACUUCCAGGCCCAAGCAAUCCUUCCAUCUCAUCUUCCCGACAGUUGGGACUACAGAGUUUCGCUCUUGUUUCCCAGACUGGAGUGCAAUGGCACGAUCUCGGCUCACCGCAACCGCCGCCUCCUGGGUUCAGGCAAUUCUCCUGCCUCAGCCUUCCGAGUAGCUGGGACUACAGGCACGCACCACCAUGCCCAGCUAAUUUUUUGCAUCUUUAGUAGAGACGGGGUUUCACCAUGUUGACCAGGAUGGUCUCGAUCUCCUGACCUCGCGAUCCACCCGCCUCGGCCUCCCAAAGUGCUGGGAUUACAGGCUUGAGCCACCGCGCCCGGCCAUCUUCUAUUCUUUAAGAAGAAGUGCUGCAUGAUAAUUCUCCCAAGUCCUCCUUCUCCAUAAACUACCUAGUCUGAGCCAAUAAACAACCUUUCAAAUUUUU